rnacentral:rRNA from 2 species
GGAUUCCCCCAGUAACGGCGAGUGAAGAGGGAAAAGCCCAAAUUUGUAAUCUGGCUCUUUUAGAGUCCGAGUUGUAAUUUUGAGAACUGUUUUCUGUGCUGGACCAUGUUUAAGUCUGUUGAAAAACAGCAUCAUUGAGGGUGAUAAUCCCGUUCAUGAUAUGGACUACCAGUGCUAUAUGAUACAGUCUCUAAGAGUCGAGUUGUUUGGGAAUGCAGCUCAAAGUGGGUGGUAAAUUCCAUCUAAGGCUAAAUAUAGGUGAGAGACCGAUAGCAAACAAGUACCGUGAGGGAAAGAUGAAAAGAACUUUGGAAAGAGAGUUAACAGUACGUGAAAUUGCUGAAAGGGAAACAAUUGAAGUUAGCCUUGUUAUUUCCAGUUCAACCCUUUUAGGGUGUAUUCUGGUAAUUAACGACCAACAUCAGUCUUUGAGUGCUGGAUAAGGGUUUUGGAAAUGUAGCAGUCUAGGCUGUGUUAUAGUCCAUUACUUUGAUACAGUGCUUAGGAUUGAGGAUCGCAGUAAGCCAAUCUUGGUGGAUCAAUUUAUUGGUCUUCUUAC